CUUCAUGAUGGUUUUCAUCAUUGUUGUUGCUACACUAAAGUUCAUAAUAAAAAUUGAAUAUGUUUGUUUGUUUUUUUCAAGAGUCACUAAGGCAACAGAUGUGAGAUUAGGGCUGGAUACCUGGCAACCAUGCCCACUUACCUUCUUCUCCACACCCCUUAAAUUGCUCUCCCCUCCAACUAUUACACAUGCUAUUAUUCUUAAUAUUUUUAUUCUCUAUUCUUUUGAUCAAGGCUGCUCUAGAUGGUCACUUCAAGACACUUCAAACUAGGAUUUGGGGAAUACACUCUGUGGUGGAUGUUCCCUGGGCCCUGCAUUACAUGGGGAAUGGCUCUGGCUAUAAACAGGGCAUCAGAAAAUGUUACCACAUAAUCUUCCUCAUUGACAGAUCAGAUCACUUUACUCCACUAUUCAAAACCCUUCAAUGGCUAACAUUGAUUAAAAUCCAGACUUCUCAGCCUGAUAUUCAAGUCCUUUCCUUCUCUACAGUUCCAACCUAUUUAGGCAAUUUUAUUUCCCUUUCCUACCUUUCAAAUAUUCUUUUUCCAUCCAAACUAGGCCACUUGCUAAACCUUCAUGAACACUUAAAGUCUUCCUGCCUCUGUGCCUUUUCUGAUGCUCUUCCCUACACAUGGAAUAUCCUCCCCACUAUUACUUUCUUUUGCAAAUCUGCUUCUCCUUCCCUUUAAAAGUCCAUUCAAAUGUCAUCUCCACCAUGAUGUCCCCAAUUAAAAAUUCUCUUUCCUUCCUUGGACCUCAUAUAACACUUAGUUUCUAUUUCACUAAUGUUCUUAGCAUAUUUGUUUUGAAUUCCAGUUAUUUGUGCCUGUAUCUCAUCUCCCCUACUAAAUUUUGAGCUGCUUCAAGGAAAGGAUCAAGUCUUAUUUUUCCUUGUAUCUCUCCCAGUUUAGUAUGCUAGUUUUUACACAUAGUGGGAACUUCAUAAGUGUGUGUUCCAUUUGACAAGUUGUCAACACUCAAAAGAGCUGAGGAGUCAGUGUGACCACUGCUUUAACCCUCAUGAUAUUCACUAUUUGUUUAAAACCUCCUAAAGUAAUACACACACACAUACACACACCCCUUUAUUAUUGUUCUAUGCUCUGGACCUUUCCUGGCCUUCUUCCUCACUGCCUACCACUUCAAAACUUCUGUGUAUUCUGCAAUCCUUGGAGUCUUGGUCUAACUAAUCCUUUAUAUUAAUUCUUACUAAGUCAUUAGUAGCAGCCAGAUGAUGCAGUGGAUUGAACAUGGGGCUUAGAACCAGAAGUACUCAUCUUUCUGAGUUCUAAUCCAGCCUCUGACACUUACUAUCUGUGUGAUCCUGGGCAGAUAAUGCAACCCUUUUUGUCUCAGUUUCCUCAUCUGUAAAAUGAGCUGGAGAAGAAAAUGGCAAACUACUCCAGCAUCUUUGCCAAGAGAACCCCAAAAAGAGAUCACUAAGAGUCAGAUAUGACUGAAACAACCAACAACAAAAGGUGGGCAAUGAUGGCUUAAAUGAAUUAUCCUUUCUGUAAUUGUCUUCUUACAAAGACCUACAACUUAAGGCUAUUGAUAAUUUCAAGAGAUAUUUAAGAUAUUGAUGAUUCAGCCUUGAAAAUGUUUCUGAAGACCCAGAAAAGAAAGUUUUUACCAACAAAGAUGAUUUUCUCAAAAGUAAGAAGCAUAUCAUCUGCUUUGAUGUCAUAUUUUAAGGACAACGGAACCUUUCCAUCUGACUUGCAGCUAAAAUCUUCUACAAGUAUUGUCUCUCCCAUCAGAAGCUCCAGGAAAGCAGAGUAACUUUUCUAUUUGUAUCCCUAAUAUUUAACACAGUGGUUUACACAUAUUAAGCAUUUAAAUAUUUUUUAAAAUGCAUUCCAUCAAAUUAUGUAAUGAAGGCAACCAUUCAUUUUGUCUAUUCAUCAAGCUAUUCCUACAUGGUAUUUCCUGGUUGGCUUUGUGGCUAUUCGCUGCUUGGCAACUAAUGGGGCAUUGUUGACUUAAAGACUCCACAUCACCAGAUUGAGUCUUAGCCGAUACUAACCCAGUGCCCAGUGUAAAUUAAAUAUGUAAUUCUUCAUGUAUUGUUAGGUCAGACUUAAAUAUUUUGCUGGGACAAAAAAGGAGACAAUUGCUUGUCCUGGACUCCUACAAUGGUAGCAUAAGAAUUCCCAUGCUUCCCAGACUCAAAUCAAAAUGCUGAAAUGCCAAUCACUGCCCCUCUGAAGCAUUCCAUAUUUGUUUGCCCUUUUGAGUAAUCAAAGCAUUACGUCAUGAAAUACCAAUACUGUCAACUUAUGCUUGUCAAUUAUAGGCUGCUGACCUGUAUUCCUAGGUACCAUGAUGCUGUUUGUUUUUAAUAAACGUUCUUUUGCUCAGAAUUUCUGGGAAAAUGAAUUCACUCUUCUGAGAAAUAUAGAUUUAAUAUUUGAGAUUAAGCAAAAGCUGUUCUUGUUGUUUAUAAAAAAUAAACCAAAUGCAUUUUCCCAUCUCCUGUUUCUUUGCCUUUGAAUCGUCUGUCCCCCAUGCCUCCUCUUCUGUUUCAUAAAAUGUCUCUUUGAGAUGCAAUUGAAACAUCAUUUUCUAUACGAAAUCUUUUCUGAUUCUUCCACCACUUCUUAUGCUCUCCAUUGUAUUUAAAACCUUCUUAUCAUCCCCACCUCCUUAGAAUGUUAGCUACUUCAGUACAGAAAUUGUUUCCUCCUUUGUAUGUUUAUCCCUGACUCCUAGCACAAUGCCAACCAUUGUUGUUGGUUAUGAUUUGUUUCCCUCUGGUAUCAAAUAACAUAUCUAGCUAUCUCUACUAAUAAUAUUAAUAGCUGGCAUUUACAUAGCACUUUUAAGUACGUAAAAUUCUUUAUAUACUGUCUCAUAUAAACAUCACAACACCCUCAAGGUAGGGACUACAGAUUUCCCCACUUCACAGAUGUUAAAAUAGAGGAUCAUAGAUAAAUUAAGUGAUUGGUGAGCACAAGCUAGCAUUAGAGCCUGGGUUCAAAUUCAGUUCUCCCAAUGCCAAGGUCAGCAAUUUAUUGGCUAUGAUUAUACCUCUAUUUCUAGACUACGCAAAUCCUUCCCUGAAACUAUCUUGAAAUUCCCUGUCUCCUGUCCUAAAACAACACAGCUAUUUCUUUUUUCUUUUUUUUUUUUUUUUUUUUUUAAUUUAAUAGCCUUUUAUUUACAGGAUAUAUACAUGGGUAACUUUACAGCAUUAACAAUUGCCAAACCUCUUGUUCCAAU
rnacentral:lncRNA from 1 species